rnacentral:lncRNA from 1 species
CUGAAAAAUUAGAUUAAAGGGUGUUUGAAAUUGCCUGAUGUUUUGUCUAUGGGGACACAUAUUCGCCGUUUUUAUACAUCUACUUAAAUCCAAAUAACUGCAGCUUUAAACAAUAUUUUUCAAAUCAAUUUCAUUAUAGACGGCAAUAGCAGACAUUUCAUAUGUGUACAAAACUAAAAUUUAGGGCGAUCAGUCAAAGAAUUACUAAGAAAUACUACUUUGAAAUUGGGUUUUUCAUUUAUGAAAUUGGCCGAAAAUCGUUGUCCAUUUUUUGGUUCUAUGCGGUAAGUGACGCAAUUUUGUCGUAGUUUAAAAAAUAAUCAUAUUUGUUAUAAAAAUUUAAUUUACCGGGAUAUUUCUUUCAUUUCAGCCAUCCUUUGAAGUUUUUACACCUCAAAAUCAUCAAACGGCGAAAUUGUGUCCCCGGCGAAUAUGUGCACCCC